GAUGAACGCUGGCGGCGUGCUUAACACAUGCAAGUCGAACGAUGAAGCCCAGCUUGCUGGUUGGAUUAGUGGCGAACGGGUGAGUAACACGUGAGUAACUUGCCCUUGACUCGGGGAUAAGCCUGGGAAACUGGGUCUAAUACUGGAUAUGACUUCUCAUCGCAUGGUGGGGGGUGGAAAGAUCUGUUGGUCUUGGAUGGACUCGCGGCCUAUCAGCUUGUUGGUGAGGUAAUGGCUCACCAAGGCGACGACGGGUAGCCGGCCUGAGAGGGUGACCAGCCACAAUGGGACUGAGGCAGGGCGCAGUGUCCUACGGGAGGCAGCAGUGGGGAAUAUUGCACAAUGGGCGCGAGCGUGAUGAAGAGGCGCCGCGUGAGGGAUGACGGCCUUCGGGUUGUAAACCUCUUUCAGUAGGGAAGAAGCGAGAGUGACGGUACCUGCAGAAGAAGCGCCGGCUAACUACGUG
rnacentral:rRNA from 1 species